GUGAACGCUUGCAAUAUACAUAACACAUGCUAGUCGAAUGUUUUUUAUAACAUGGCGUACAGGUGAGUAAUACACAAAUGUCUUCUUUAGAGUUCAAACUAAUUAUAUUUAUAAAAAAAAAAUGCGAAAGCAGUAAAAAUGUUGAAUAGUAGUAAAGACUUAAGUCGCUCUAAAAUGAUGUUGUAGAGGAUUAGGUUGUUGGUGGGGUAGUGCUUACCAAGCCGUUGAUCCUUAGCUGUUCUGAGAAGAAGUACAGCCACACUGGGACUGAGAUAAGGCCCAGGCUUUAGCCAGCAGUGGGGAAUUUUGGACAAUGAGCGAAAGCUUGAUCCAGUAAUAUUGCGUGAAUGAGGACAGCAAACAAGACCCGUAAGGGUCGGCUGUAAAGUUCUUUCGUUGAUUUAGAUAAUGACGUUAAUCAAAAAAGAAGCCCCGGCUAACUUCGU
rnacentral:rRNA from 1 species